GCGGGAAUAGCUCAGUUGGUAGAGCACGACCUUGCCAAGGUCGGGGUGCGAGUUCGAGUCUCGUUUCCCGCUCCA
rnacentral:tRNA from 1 species